rnacentral:rRNA from 1 species
UACGGGGGGAGCAAGCGUUGUUCGGAUUUACUGGGCGUAAAGGGCGCGUAGGCGGCUUGCCAAGUCCGGGGUGAAAGCCUCCAGCUCAACUGGAGAAGUGCCUUGGAAACUGGCGAGCUCGAGCGAGGUAGGGGUCGUGGGAACUUCCGGUGGAGCGGUGAAAUGCGUUGAUAUCGGAAGGAACGCCGGUGGCGAAAGCGCACGACUGGAUCUCUUCUGACGCUGAGGCGCGAAAGCCAGGGGAGCAAACGGG